CCCCCCUAAACAUCCCACACCCGCCCCCCUCCAUUCCCCCUCUAAACAUCCCACACCGCAAAACUCAAGCAGCGUUGGCCUGGCUUUGAUUGGGAGUACCCGGCCACAAUGAGGGCUACAGUCUAAUUAUACUUAGAGGAAAUAUUGAUCUUGGUUUCCAUGAUUUAUACUACAGGUCAUUUCCACUUUAAUUUGAGUUACCAAGAAUGGACACAUUAGUGCAGGAUGAAAUUGAAAUGUACUGGGCACUAUAGAAAUUACUUUGGUCUCUGUGGCUUUGUUUUUCACCUCAGAAAUGUGUGUUUUUUUCUUCCUGCCAUUGCAGUUCUAAUUUUGUGUGUUGUGUCUCUGGGAGGAGUGAGGUGGUGCACCUGCUCAUCCUGAUUCAUGAUUUUCUUGUGCCUCUCAGUCUGAGACAGCCCACACCGAUGUGUUUGCAUCGGGUUGAAAGCCAAGAAUUCUGACUCAGACCUGGCGACCCUGGCCUCUCCUUUCUGCAGGCCUUAGAAAGUGAGUGUCUCACCGUAGAACCCAGGGCUUCACAGCCCGUUGCCUUCCCGGAGGAAGCAAAGGCGAGACACGGAAUUCAGUUUGUUCUCCUUUUGGUUGAUCACAUGGGCUCGGAGUCAGUGCACGAUCCACCUACUCUGCCGGCCACCAGGGUUUAAAGACAAAUGCGGUGUUGUCUCUGCUUUGGGGGAAACGAUCAUGUCCUACGGAGACAGCAACAUGAGCGAGGGGUUCCUGUGUGGGGUGCACACCAGGGCCUCCAGGCACAUAGAGAGUGAUGUGACAGCACUGCACUGGAAGCCAGGGGUGAGAGGAUUCUCUGCAGAAAAGGCCCAAGGAGGGGACUUCAAUGCUGAGUCGUUUACAAUAGAUUGCCAGGCAGACAGAGAUACUCUAGGUAGUGGAGGAAACCUGCAAAAACUACUUGGAGAUGCCGAGAGGGCAGGUGUGUCCUGGGCUUGCUGCCACGUAGGAUGUGGGACACAGGCUGUGGGCCAGACACCAGGAGCAGGUGCAGGUGUGCAGGACUGGGAGCCUCGUGGAGUCCCCACACUGCAGAGCCUUCCUCCCACUGUCUUCCAGAGCUGUGGGAGCCACACCAGUGUGCCAGGGCGUGGCGCAGAGGCCGUCCUGUUACCAGUAAAAACCAGGGAACUCAGAUUUACACCCCGUUUAUUAUGUAAUGGGAGGGAGACGCCUUGCCCAUGGAAAUCCCUCUGGAACUAUGUUAAUUGGGAGGACGUUGUGGGUUGUUCUAGAGAUGAGUGGGGAUGGAGGCAGGGGAAGGGCAGAGGUUUGGGGGCUCAGAUCCAUUCUUCUGGGUUUCCUUAAAUCCUCAGUGAAGAUGACGCGAUCACAGAAUUGUCUUUGUCAAAUGAUUUCACGAGGCGGAGGCAGUAAAAGAGAGGAUUUUUUUUUUUUUUUUUCCAACUGAAUAGAAACGCGUGUGUAGGUAGGAGGUGUGUGUGAGAAAGUUGUCAGCUGAAAUCCAGGCAUGGAGGCCACUGCCUUGGGCUCCUGGAUCUUGGUCCUGCGGCAGGCGGGUCUCUGAGGGCUGAGGAGCUGCGUGGACAGUUGACACAGGCCGGUUGUGUCUCUGAAGAAGUGGUUCCCAGUUAUGUCCACACCCUGGCGCCUGGGGGACUCCCACGCUGAGGGAGCAGGGAAUGGCAGGGGCGUUUCACGCGAGAGUGAGAACGAGAGCACUCUGCCUCUCCCGCCUCCUGGCUCUGGAAAAAGAAUCAGGAACGUGUUCUAGAAAAGGCCGCCUGUGAUUCCUUCUUCAAUUCCUUGGCUACCCCGGGAUCUGGGAUUCCUGGCCCUUCUGUUACGAAUCCCAGGCACUUUCCUGACCAAAGUCCAUAACCACACAUGCAGUCCGGCAGCCACACGUGUGCUGAAAUAGAAAAGGCGAACAAACGUUCUCUGAAGUUCAUAACCUUCGGAUUUUCACACACUGAAUAAUUCCUGGGAGGGGCUCUCAUGAUCCGGUUCUUUUCUUCUUAUGAUUUGUAAAGGGAAAAAUUCUCAGUGGAGAUGGAGAAAGACUGAGAAAUGGUUCCAGGUUAAAUAAAACUAGAGAUGUGACGAGUACAA